rnacentral:rRNA from 1 species
GGCCUUGACAUACUAAGAACUUUCCAGAGAUGGAUUGGUGCCUUCGGGAACUUAGAUACAGGUGCUGCAUGGCUGUCGUCAGCUCGUGUCGUGAGAUGUUGGGUUAAGUCCGCAACGAGCGCAACCCUUUUCCUUAUUUGCCAGCGGGUAAUGCCGGGAACUUUAAGGAUACUGCCAGUGACAAACUGGAGGAAGGCGGGGACGACGUCAAGUCAUCAUGGCCCUUACGGCCAGGGCUACACACGUGCUACAAUGGUCGGUACAAAGGGUUGCUACCUCGCGAGAGGAUGCUAAUCUCAAAAAGCCGAUCGUGGUCCGGAUCGCAGUCUGCAACUCGACUGCGUGAAGUCGGAAUCGCUAGUAAUCGCGGAUCAGAAUGCCGCGGUGAAUACGUUCCCGGGCCUUGUACACACCGCCCGUCACACCAUGGGAGUUUGUUGCACCAGAAGUAGGUAGUCUAACCGCAAGGAGGACGCUUACCACGGUGUGGCCGAUGACUGGGGUGAAGUCGUAACAAGGUAGGCGUAGAUGA